UCCGAAAAGCAAUGUCAGGAUUUUCCACAACAGUUAGUAAAUAACUUCAAAAGGAUUUUCCUGAGACAACGCCACAAUUUUUCUUUGCAUCUUAUUAAAUAUUCCAGUUCCUGACCGUCGGGUAUAAAGAUUGCACGUUUUUGUAGAAGACUCAGUACAGGCAGAUUCAUAUGUGAUUUCCUUUGUUAGACAACGACAAGCUUGUAACUAUUUUUUUUAUCAGUUAUUUGUAAAUUCGAAACGUACUUCAACCAGACACACCAAUCAUUGCUUGGACUUCAAUCAGGCUAACCGUGCAUUUCAAAUUCUGCUGGAGAACAGACUUAGAUAGUUUCUAUUGGCAUACACAGAGAGGUCUAGAAUCUUAGAUCUGUUUCCUCUAAGUUUGUGCUUUCAAGAUUUGGAGAAAAAUUGUACAAUCCUCUGCCAUCACCGUCCACAGCAGAUGACUGCAACAGCAAAGACUGAUUAAAAUAAAGUCCUGUCAGUGUUUUCUUUCCUCAUUGUACAGCAUUUGCAAUUUGCUGUUCCUGAUCUAUGUGCAAAGGAGAGGAUACCUACUGUGAACACUGUAACAGCAUCAAAAACAAGACGAAACACGUUUUUUGGCUUAUAUGGUAAGU